rnacentral:rRNA from 1 species
GACAGAGGGUGCAAACGUUGUCCGGAAUCAUUGGGCGUAAAGCGCGCGUAGGUGGCCUCAUAAGUCCGCUGUGAAAGUCAAAGGCUCAACCUUUGAAAGCCGGUGGAUACUGUGAGGCUAGAGUACGGAAGAGGCGAGUGGAAUUCCUGGUGUAGCGGUGGAAUGCGCAGAUAUCAGGAGGAACACCAAUAGCGAAGGCAGCUCGCUGGGACGUUACUGACACUGAGGCGCGAAAGCGUGGGGAGCGAACAGG